UUCAUUAGGUGAAGUAAUGGAAGAUAAUGAGGACGUUGUUAAACAAAUCAGAGAAUCACUUGGUGGAUUACAUCAAAUUACAGCUGCACAACUUGAGAAAAUGCCCAUAGAUAAAUUACCAAUAUCGGAUAUAAGAAAAAUACCCCCACAAGCCAUGAGGGAUGCUGCAUCCAAAAUCCGUGACGAAAGACAGAAAAUGACCAAGGCCAAACAACGUGAAGUAUCUAAACAAUUGAAAGAAGCCUUUAAUGUAACGGGUAAUAAUCCCAUCCCUGAUGAUAUGACAGCUGCUGAGAUCGCUACAAUUAUACAAUUUAAUCCUAAUGAUAGGACAAUCUUGGAUAAAAUUCCCCCGCGGAUGUUAGAAAACGUCACAAACGAAAUGUCAGAGGUUGAAUUAGAACAAGAUGAGAAAAUUGGUAUGGUGGAAAAAUUGAGAAAAACAUCAUUGAAGAAUUUUAACAGCUGGGAUAUUAAUAAAGUCAAAUCCAUGAAGAAUUUUAUUGGUGGUCUAGCUAACCAGGAAUUUAAUGACAUCCCAGAAGCUAACAUACGAGCCGUUUUAGAUGAGGGUGAAUUUUCUGGUGUUGAUUUA